AACUUUUUAGACGCAUUUAAUCCUCAUCCUCUGAGGCAGACAAGUGUCUGUGAUGGAACUGAAUCAUUGAGUGUGAAUACAGCUUGCCCAAGAUUCAAUGACUCAUAAGCGGAGAAGCCGGUUUUUGAAAGCGGAACGUCCAUCCCCGGCACCUGAGUUCUUCACUGUUGCCUAGACCCACCCUGCGGAGAGCAUUUUGCAGACGCAGCGUGAAAGGAAGUGGUGAGCUCGUCUCUCCGUGGGCUGCGAAUCACUAAUAAACACGGUAUUAAAGGAGCAGUGAGUCGACGCCGCUGUUUAGCCUAAAAAAGAGAGCUGCGUCCCUAGCAUGGCUUCAGCUUCCUUUUAAGAUGGAUCUGGCUUCAGCUCCCUUUAAGACAGAAGGCCUCAGCCGAGAGGGCUCCCUGGACGUGGUUGGACCGAACUCAGAAGAUCCUUUAUUCGAGACUGAUGAUUUAAAGAAAAAAAAAAAAAAAAGUUUUCACUAAAGAGCAGCCGCAAAACGCCAUGACUACCUAAAACAAUACGGUGAAUUUUUCUGUCUUGUUUAAAAUCAUCUUCAUUCCAUGCCCCUUAGUCAAUCCUUGGUGUGGCUCAGAUUGUCCUCGGUUGUCCUAUGCAUGGCUCUUGGGACACUUCAAAUGCAAUCCUGCUUUCACGGCCCCAUACCCUCCCUGUCCUUUCCAUACGUGCCCAGGACAUAGAGACCUUCGAACAUUUCUCUUACGUUACCUGGGAGGAAGAAGCACAUUUCUAAAAAUUAGGCAUGAAGGUCCCUGCUUUUUCAGUGUGUGGCCUUUAGCAUGGAGGCCUGGUUUUCAUCCAGAUGUUUAAACUUUUGCACCUCUGGGUGGAAUGUCCUGGCUUUCUUCAGUUGUAGGACUUUGGCCCUAUUUCACCAGUUCCCUGUCCAUCAGGUGGCAUAGAAGAGAGGAGGUAUAGGGGUGGGGGACCAGGGCAGAGGGCAGGAAGGGGUGAAGUGGCUGGGGACAGAAGCUGGGAAGGUGACACUUGAGAAGCAGUCAGUACCAAGAGGUAAAAAAAAAAAA